rnacentral:lncRNA from 1 species
GAAUAUUCCAAGAUAUCACAGGAGCAAAGUGGAGUCAUCUCUUGUUUGAAAAAUGGUCAAGACACUGAGUACAGAGUGGGAUCAUCAGAUCGGAAAUGCUUCACAUCCACAGAGCCGGGGCUGCUGGCUGAUCCCACAGCACAGUGUGAAGGACUAAGUACCCUUCGACUCUCCAGGUCUGAUGUGUGACUUUAGCCAGAAUGAGGCCAAUUUACUGUUAUUCCCAGAGCCCAGGGCAAUUUUCACAUGAAGGGAAGAUGCACAUUUGUGGCCAAAUAGGCAGAUUUGGACAUUGGACUGGAUGCUAAAAUGUCCCCCUGUGCUUGAGGCAGGCACACAGCCGGAUGACUGCCUGGAAGCUGCCUGAAACAUUAUUCUAUUUCCAUGGUCUGGGCUGAUUAGAAGCCAAGCAUUUGGAAAGGAUCUGGGAAUAGCUGGGGGGUUGCAUUCCAGCUACUUGAAAACAAUGGCACAACCCACAUUUUCUGCAGCCCUCAACCUAUGUCGCCUUCCCUGAGCAUGGCUGACAAGGUGGGUGGUGGGCACGCCAGAAACAUCAUUCUAGGCAGAGAAGAUAAAUCAGGGAAAUAUGAAUCACUGUGAGCCCAGGAAUGAAGAAAUCAACUGCAGAGGCAUCUGUAACCAAGGAUGGAACAUGCCCAGAAUCCAAUGAUGAAGAGUUAUCCAGAGCCCUUGGUAUGGGAAAAAACUUUGGGCUUCAUCCCUUGUAUGUGGGGUCAGCGGUGGUUUCAGUGCAGUGUCACUAUCAGAUUGGCCUAUGGGAAGAUCAAUCUGGAAAGCCCCAGAAAACUUGCUUCAUGUGGAAUGGGAGACUAGAGCCAGGGGCAUCCUGGAUCUAAACACACAUCUCCCUAUAGAGGAGACUCACUAAAGAAAUUGGCCAGUGCAGUAGUCUUCAACCUUCCUAACACUGUAACCCUUUAAUACAGUUCCUUAUGUUGUGGUGACCCCCUCCCCUCAACCAUAAAAUUAUUUUCAUUGCUACGUCAUAACUAUAAUUAUGCCACCUUUAUGAAUUGUAAUGUUAAUAUCUGAUAAGUAGGAUAUCUGAUAUGCGACGACUGUGAAAAGGUUGUUUGAUGCCCCCCAAGGGGGGCACGACCCACAUAUUGAGAACUGCUGGGGUAGUGAGAUGUUCUAGAAGCCUAAUCAUCUUCUGAGGUGAAACUAAACUGUAAGUCCCUUGAUGACAAGGACUGCACUGGCUUUCGGUGGGUAAGAACCAAGUACCAAAUACAGGAGUGGGCACAGAGAUAGGGCCUUUGCCAGUCUCUGCCAAAUGGUGCACAGAGAAUGGGGUUCAGGAAGGUCCAAAGAAUCUUCAAGGAAGGUGAAUGAUAUUUGUGUGCCUGGAGCAGGCUAAGAAGUCAGAUCUUGGGUUAGGUCAUGGCCUUGCUGGGUUUGACAUGUUUGUGGAAAACCCAAAUGAGAAACCUCAUGGGCAUUUGGAUACGGGUCACUCACCGUGUCCUCAAUACAUAGAACAGGGCCUACCUAACUCAAUACCAUAAGCAGUUACCCAAAAAUAUGUGUUAAAGAAAGUGAGUAGGCCUGGAAUUCAAGAAUGGCCUGAACUUCUUGUCUACUUUCUGUGUGGCAGAGGCUGUCGAUCUUCUGUCCCCAGUUAUUGUCCUCUGUAGUACUUGAGGAUGUGAGUGUCCUGGGAAGAUUCACCUGUGACCUAAUGUUUGCUCUCUGGAGUGAAGACAUUGUCAUUUUGUUUACUUCUAUGUGUCUUGGCCUACUCUAGCCUACAGACAACAUUAGAUCAAUAUUUGUUGAAUGCACGAGGACCUAGGAACAUUUGAUAUGGGCGUGGGUAGGAUGUAAGUAGAAGCCAAGAGCAGGGAGGUACCCGGCAAGCAGGCCGAUCAUGUUCAUCACAGAACUUUCAAGUUUGUCACACUUCUGUAGUCCUGCAACUUCCUCUUCCUCCCCAACAUGUCACACCUCCAAACCAGGCCCAACCAAACCCUGCUGUUCUUUCAUCUGUAAAAUGGGGGUUUAGAUCAUAUCCAACCUAGGUGCUUGCAAGCACUACAUGAGGUAAUUCAAGGCAACAAAUGUUCAUAGGGAUGAUUAAAUGCCACAGUGAUAAAAUGCUUCUGAGCGAGUUGCUGAUUUGCAUAUUGAUGCGGACUGUGCCGCCAUGGCUAGAAGAAGCAUUCCUUGCUCCAGCGACAGUGAGGGAACAUAUCUGUACUGGCUGGUUUUGAGUGUCAACUUGACACAGGCUGGAGUUCUCACAGAGGAAGGAGCUUCAGAAGAGGAAUUGCCUCCAUGAGAUCCAGCUGUG